AACGAACGCUGGCGGCAGGCUUAACACAUGCAAGUCGAACGAAGUCUUCGGACUUAGUGGCGCACGUGUGAGUAACACGUGGGAAUAUACCUCUUGGUGGGGAAUAACAUCGGGAAACUGAUGCUAAUACCGCAUACGCCCUUCGGGGGAAAGAUUUAUCGCGCGAGGGAUUAGCCCGCGUCCGAUUAGCUAGUUGGUGAGGUAAUGGCUCACCAAGGCGACGAUCGGUAGCUGGUCUGAGAGGAUGAUCAGCCACACUGGGACUGAGACACGGCCCAGACUCCUACGGGAGGCAGCAGUGGGGAAUAUUGGACAAUGGGGGAAACCUUGAUCCAGCCAUGCCGCGUGAGUGAUGAAGGCCUUAGGGUUGUAAAGCUCUUUCACCCACGACGAUGAUGACGGUAGUGGGAGAAGAAGCCCCGGCUAACUUCGUGCCAGCCGCCGCGGUAA
rnacentral:rRNA from 1 species